rnacentral:lncRNA from 1 species
AAGGUCCCGGGAUACCUGGACUGCCUGAAGCCAGUCGACUCAACCCCAGAAGCUUAAGGGUGGGAUCAAUUUCACACAAACUAUUCUAAGAGCGGGGUGUAUUUCUUAAGAGAGAAACAAAUACUAUUUGGUGGAGGAAAUUAAUAAACUCCAGUGUUGUAAUAUGCAAAUGCCCUUAAUAAAUCUAUCUCGAUUUUUUUUUUUUUUUGGUAGGAAAAGGCUAAAUGCUAAAAGAUAACAAAACAGAAAUGUCAAUGAAGUGUGUUUGUUUUCUCUCGCCCAGUCGGUGUCUUCCCAGUCAAAGGCAGGAAUUAUUUCUGGAAGUGCAAAUCCUAAGUCAUGGUAACCAACACCCCUAGCUUUGCUGUAAAAUGAGCAUAUAAACCAUGUGGUCCUGGCAAAAUGUCAUUCAUCAGCUUAAUUAGCCCUAAAGGAAGCACCUGUUUCAAAUUAGGAGCAACGGCAUUUCUGAAAAGAAGGCAACAGCAUUAAUAACGGCAACCUCUUUGAGAAACAAGGUUUCUAAAGCUGAUUUUACAUGCGAUGACUUUGCUUACUUGUAUCUCCAGAUCUCACAGGCAUCCAGAUCUUCAUCACCUCAAGCCACAGCUACACCCUCAUCACCUGGGGGAAAUUAGUUCUGCAUCAACUGGCUGGAUACUGUCAGAGCAGCAAAGUUGUGAUAUUGCAGUCAUAAUGUAAUUCUAGUGAAUAAAUAUUUGGGUUUCAGGCUUCUUUAUAGUCUAUGCAAGACCUCAAACUAGUUUUCACAACUGGUAUUUCCAUGUGAGUACUCACAUGUGUUUGAAAAUAUAAUUGAGACAGGGUGGGAAAAGAGGGCAUUAAAGUAACUGAGUUAGCUGACUCUAAAAAGACAAAGUGUAACUUUUUUACUACUUGACUGAUUUAAAUUAUUUUGAUAAUAUUUCUUCCUGAAUAGUUAACAGUAUCCAUCAAGUUGAAUAAACAAGCAAAACUGUGAAUAACUUAGUUAUACCUUUCCAGCUUGCAUUUUUAUUACCCUAGUUUUCUGCAAACUUUUUCUUCUUUUUUUAAUGGCCACACUCACAGCGUAUGGAAAUUUCCAGGCCAGGGACUGAACUUGUGAAACAGCAGAGACCCAAACUGCUGCAGUGACAAUACUGGAUCCUUAAUCUGCUUCACUGCAAGAGAACUCCAGCCUAUUCUUUUCUUGACACGUAUGCUUUGAUUUAUGCUUAUCUGUUUAACACAAUUUACCUAUUCUUACCACUGUUCUCACGUUCUUCAAACACUCUGGGAAAAUAUGUAAAUUUUUAUAAAUAAUUGUAUACAGGUAGUGGGCAUAUGCUGUUUGGCCAACAACUUUUAUUUGAGAAUCAAUUCUCUGUAAUGCUGUCGAUCACAGAUAUGGGGCCAACUUCCAGCCAUAGGAAGGAACUCUGGGAGGUAAUCAGUGCCCCAUGUUUCUGGCAAAGAGGUUAGACCAAGGGUGUGUCGACAUAUGCAAAAGCACUGAAGUCAAGUCUUUCUUUUGAAUCAUACGCUGUAAAGGUGACCCCUUCCCCACAACACAAAGAUACUGCCAGAGAAUGAAGCUCAGUGAAGCCAGUGCCCAUGGAGAGAAGUAGAGCCGUGUGUAAAAAGACAAGGGGCCAAGACCAUAGGCUUUGGACUCCUGAUUCAGCAGGGUCUAAAACUAUUUUUCUAGAUCGUCUGGUACAUGAGCUGAUUAUUCUUUUUUUUUAAGCCACUAAGAAUUGAGUUUCUGUCACCACUUGUGACAAUAUCACAGUGUGUUGACAUUUUAUGUUUCUUGUGUUUUAAUGUUUCAUAUUAAGAUGCACUUCAUCAGUACGUAACAAUUAUUGCCUGAAUUUAAGAUAAUAGCAGUUCUAAAUUAAGAUCAGUACUCUAAACAAUGUGGAAGAGCUAAUCCUGAGGACGAGGAUGGUGAGGGUGACAGGAUGCAAAGACGGUGGCAUCAGAGUUUUUGAGGAUGAGCAGUUCAUUAGCAAUAUUGGAAGAAACUGUAUUCAAAACACGCCUUUCUUCCUCUAAGUCCUUAUCCAUAAUUUUCUUGUUUUGCAAAAAACUGUCACGUUCAUACAUCGUGAAGAGAUUUCCUAAGGGAAAUAAUUUCUUUUAAUAUGCCUGUUUAGACAAAAGGUUUUCUUUGAACAGCUUCUUUAGAGGCAGGUACAGUGUAUCCAGAAUCAAUUGCUUGUGAUGUGGUUUAAUGAUUAAAAAUCAAUCUUCUCUGAUCAUUCAAGACCUUCCCUCCCUCAACUCUUGCCAGCACAGAAUCGUAAAACCAUUAUUUUCUGACUCUUCCCAUUAACUGAGAGGUGAAGCAGCAGUACCAUAUAUGUUAUCUGCUUCACAAUAGCUACGGAGACCCAGUCUAUAGCCAAUUAUAUAUGUACCUCAAAGUAGUGCAAAAAUAUUUUAGAGGCUUGAGCCAUAUAAAUAUAAACACCUUUAUAACAGCAUAAACUACUGCAGGGGUAGAAAUAUGUCGUGAUUGAAAGCACUGCCCCUAUGUUAAGAGCUUCGGUUUAAGAUUCCUCUACACUCUCUGGUAACCAGUUAAUAACACAACCUACCAAAUUUUGUUUCCUAAACUGUGGAAAAAGAAUAAUAAUAUUCUCACCCAAAGGGGUGUUGUGAGAACUACAUGAGAAAGUGCUAGAAACGCUUUUUGCUAGGAUAUUAACUUCUCUUUAAGUGCUUGAAUAUAUAAAUAUGUGCACGAAUAUUUUAAUAUUUUUCCCACUAUGGUUUAUCAUAGGACAUUGAAUAUAGUUCCCUGCACUAUACAGUAGGACAUUAUUGUUUAUCUCCUCCAUGUAUAAUAGCUUACAUCUGCUAACCUUAACCUCCCACUCCAUCCCUUUGCCAACCCCCCUCCCCCUUGGUAACCAUAAGUCUGUUCUUCUCCAUGGGUCUGUUUCUGUUUUGUAGAGAGAUUCAUUUGUGUCAUAUUUUAGAUUCCACACAUUAGCGACAUCAUAUGCUAUUAGUUUAUCUCCUUCUGACUUACUUCAUGUAGUAGGUUAAUCUCUAGGUCCAUUCAUGUUGCUGAAAAUGGCAUCAUUUUCUUCUUUUGAUGGUUGAGUAAUAUUCCAUUGCAUGCAUGUACCACAUCUUCUUUAUGCAUUUGUCUGUCAGUGGACAUUUGGUUGUUUUCAUGUCUUGGUUAUUGUGAAUAGUACUACCCUGAACAUACGGGUGCAUAUAUCUUUUUGAAUUAUAGUUUGUCUGGAUAGAUGCCCAGCAGUGGGAUUGCAGGAUCAUAUGUUGACUCCAUCCUUUGUUUUCUGAGGAACCCACAUACUGUUUUCCAUAGUGGCUGUACCAACUUACAUUCCAACAGUGUAGGAGGGUUCUAUUUUCUCCACAUGCUCUCCAGCAUUUGUUAUUCGUAGACUUUUUAAUGAUGGCCAUUUUGACUGGUGUGGGGUGAUACCUCAUUGCAGUUUUGAUUGCAUUUCUCUGAAAAUUAGCAAUGUCGAGCUUUUUUUUUUUUUCAUGUGACUACUGGCCAUUUAAAUUUCUUCUUUGGAGAACGUCUACUUAGGUCUUUGGCACAUUUUUUUCAUUGGGUUGUUUGGUUUCUGUUAUUGAGUUUUAUGAGCUAUUUGCAUAUUUCAGAAAUUAAGCCCUUGACGGUCACAUUAUUUGCAAACAUUUUCUCCCGUUCUACAGUUUUCUCUUUGUUUUGUCUAUGGUUUCCUUUUCUGUGCAAAAGCUUGUAAGUUUGAUUAGGUCCAAUUUGUUUAUUUUUGUUUUUAUUUCUAUUGCCUUGGGAGACUGACCUAAAAAAACAUUGGCACAUGCUUUUGAAUUAGGACCUAAUUAGCACUAGAGAGGAUAGUGAGAAACAUAAGCUCUCAGUUUACUAAUGGUGUAGCUGAGGCUCAGAGUGAAAAAGGCCAUGGCCCAAGAAGUACCACCUGACGACGGCAGAAAGGUAAAGCAGGUUUCAAAGUCUUUCCAUUCUUAACAUAAUGAGCUGUCCAGCAGAGUGAAGGCCUUUCCUCCAGAGCCUAUGGACAUAAACCAAACAUCAUCCUAAGUGCUAACGGUAAGCUGGAAAUCACAUGCUCACCUGUGCAUAUACACUCAUGUUAUUACACCCAUACGAGCUAGUCGUAAAAUUAAUUCUGUUUUGCCAUCCUGGACUUCCUGCUUUUCAGAUUUCUCUUGAAAGUAAGCAAUAUGCCUCUGGUUUUGUGUUCGGCCUAAGGACAUCCUCCCUUCUCCUUCCUUCUGACCUGCACGUACACUUGUGCGUGGAAUAUUAUUUUAGUUAAACUCAUAUUUCUAGGUAUACAUACAGUGAGCUCGGGAGCACUACAACUACCACGUACUGUCAUGGAGGCUCGAAACAAGUGGAGGCUUUCCCAAAAUGCUUUUCAAAGCACUACUCUCCACCGCUCCCAAUCUCCUAGAAUGUGUGAUUUCUGAGUUUAUCACCACAUAGAGACCACAUGGAACACUAGAAAUAUAGAGCAUAAACACCUGCUUUGAGAAGGUCAUUGUCCAACUUUCAGGAAGCAGGGGAACAGCUUCAAUAGAGACUUGGUUCCCUCCACAAAUUUGAUAUUCAUUUAAUAAAAUCUGCUUUUUGGUGGUAAACACUUUUAUUCUCUUGAACCAAAUACCCUUUCUGAGCCUGGAAAAAGCUUUUAUAAUUCCAUCAACAUGUUGUGUAAUGAUGAGGCCACUCAUUCUUUUUUUUUUUUUUUCUUUCCGGAGCAAUUGGCUUUGAUUCACUUUUGAUUUUUUAUAUUGUAUUUAAAAAGCCCAAGCGCCUGAAUCAAUAACACAGGCCUGCAUUUUCUGUCCUAAACAAUUAUUUACAGAGUGUGGGAACACUUGUAAUUUAACAUGCCACUUAGGCAGCGCAGGAGUUGAUCUGCUUGCCUCUUAACUCGAUAGAAUGGGGAUAAAAGAAGCCACUGUGGAC